ACGAGUAAGUAUAUUUACGAUCCAGGGCUGGCUCAAACCCUUAUUAGGCUUCUUUAGAAGGGAGAAAAAACAAUCUGAUCAUCUUGAAGGAAAUGACAAAUACCGGUAGUUCCAGGCUUAGCCUUAAGCACUACAAAAGGUAAUCCUUUUGGGUUCCAAAGAGAUGUAUCUUUGUGGCAUAUUGAUACUGCUUUGACCUUUGUUCCAUCAGCACCAAUCGUAGAUCACAUAAAUGUUUUUGUAAUUCCUCCACCAUGACAAAAAUGCACUGCAUAUGCAUAAUUAAGUUUGUGGCAUAUCAUGUUAACCCCAUCAGCUAACUGUUGAACUUCUUCAAUGGUGUAUUUCUGCAACAUUUGAUUUUCCCCUUCUACCUCUGUUGUAAAUACAUGAAUAUUGUUUGUGCCGAGCAUGGAUAAGCUGAAAUCUAUCAUAGACUCCAAAGAAGUUGCACACUUUCUCCUCUCUCCUUUCAUCGCUGGCUCUUCACAAACUUUGAUUGUUUCCUCUAUUGUUCCAAAAGGUAAUCCUUUUGGGUUCCAAAGAGAUGUAUCUUUGUGGCAUAUUGAUACUGCUUUGACCUUUGUUCCAUCAGCACCAAUCAUAGAUACCUUAAAUGUCUUUGUAAUUCCUCCACCAUGGCAAAAGUGCACUGCAUAUGCAUAAUUAAGUUUGUGGCAUAUCAUGUUAACCCCAUCAGCUAACUGUUGAACUUCUUCAAUGGUGUAUUUCUGCAACAUUUGAUUUUCCCCUUCUACCUCUGUUGUAAAUACAUGAAUAUUGUUUGUGCCGAGCAUGGAUAAGCUGAAAUCUAUCAUAGACUCCAAAGAAGGUACGUCUGUUGUAAAUACAUGAAUAUUGUUUGUGCCGAGCAUGGAUAAGCUGAAAUCUAUCAUAGACUCCAAAGAAGUUGCACACUUUCUCCUCUCUCCUUUCAUCGCUGGCUCUUCACAAACUUUGAUUGUUUCCUCUAUUGUUUGAGCAUCCUUUGAGAUGCUAUCUAUUGAGAAAUGGUUCAAAAUUUCUGGGAGUUUUUUCGAUGAGAAGGGAAUCGAUUCCACAUAUUGGCGAGGCAAAAAGGGUGCUUCGUUUUUAUUUUUCAAAGAGGGAAAGUUGAUGACUCUUCCUUUCUCCAAAUCCUUUUCUAAGAAGUAAGGUUUGUAAAGCAAAUUAUCUUGAAAAUGACUGUUGGCAUUGCUUCCUUCAUUUACAUGUUGGAGCUCAUUCACGUUUAGGCUUUGCUUUUUGAUCUCACGAAUCUCAUCUUCUGUAGCAUCAUGAAAAAUCCAGGCUCCAUGCUGGUGUAAACCAUAGUAUACUUUUUCUUUAGUGUGAGCGUCAUCCUCUGCAAUAUAAUGAUUGUCAUUUUUCUCUUAGAAAUGAGGUCUAGAAACAUUAACAUGUAAUAUGUCCACUUGGUAAUUAAUUUAGUUUGUCUUUUUCAAAUUGGAUUAAUUCUAUAAACUCUGAUGAAAUAAAUUAUAAAUAUGUAAAGUUGGAUAUAUAACAGAGAGAUAAAAAAAGCAAUGAAGUAUAAUAGAGGGGUAAAACUAUAUAUUAUGCUUUACACAUAAAAUUGCAAAGAAGUUAAAUAAAUAUUCCAGAUAAUUAACUUUUGACCAUAGCUAAGGUAGCUUAAAAACACCCAAUGAUACAAAUAUAAUUAAGUCACAACGACCUGCAUAGAGACAUAUUUGAAGACGAGUCAAACGUUACAUAUGAUGGAAGUUAUAGAAAUGUUGUGCUUUCACUCAACAUGUAAAAACAAGGAAUAAGUUAAUCGUGUGGUCGCUAAACUUUACUCAUUUGACAAAAAAUAAAAAAUAAAAAUUACCCCUUUGAAUU
rnacentral:lncRNA from 1 species